UACGUAGGCAGCGAGCGUUGUUCGGAGUUACUGGGCGUAAAGCGCGUGUAGGCUGCUCAGAAAGUCGGAUGUGAAAGCCCUGGGCUUAACCUAGGAAGUGCAUUCGAAACUUCUGAGCUUGAGUUCUGGAGAGGAAGGCGGAAUUCUCGGUGUAGAGGUGAAAUUCGUAGAUAUCGAGAGGAACACCGGUGGCGAAGGCGGCCUUCUGGACAGUGACUGACGCUGAGACGCGAAAGCGUGGGGAGCAAACAGG
rnacentral:rRNA from 1 species